rnacentral:rRNA from 1 species
AGUCGAACGAGUUCUCGUUGAUGAUCGGUGCUUGCACCGAGAUUCAACAUGGAACGAGUGGCGGACGGGUGAGUAACACGUGGGUAACCUGCCCUUAAGUGGGGGAUAACAUUUGGAAACAGAUGCUAAUACCGCAUAGAUCCAAGAACCGCAUGGUUCUUGGCUGAAAGAUGGCGUAAGCUAUCGCUUUUGGAUGGACCCGCGGCGUAUUAGCUAGUUGGUGAGGUAAUGGCUCACCAAGGCGAUGAUACGUAGCCGAACUGAGAGGUUGAUCGGCCACAUUGGGACUGAGACACGGCCCAAACUCCUACGGGAGGCAGCAGUAGGGAAUCUUCCACAAUGGACGCAAGUCUGAUGGAGCAACGCCGCGUGAGUGAAGAAGGCUUUCGGGUCGUAAAACUCUGUUGUUGGAGAAGAAUGGUCGGCAGAGUAACUGUUGCCGGCGUGACGGUAUCCAACCAGAAAGCCACGGCUAACUACGUGCCAGCAGCCGCGGUAAUACGUAGGUGGCAAGCGUUAUCCGGAUUUAUUGGGCGUAAAGCGAGCGCAGGCGGUUUUUUAAGUCUGAUGUGAAAGCCCUCGGCUUAACCGAGGAAGCGCAUCGGAAACUGGGAAACUUGAGUGCAGAAGAGGACAGUGGAACUCCAUGUGUAGCGGUGAAAUGCGUAGAUAUAUGGAAGAACACCAGUGGCGAAGGCGGCUGUCUGGUCUGUAACUGACGCUGAGGCUCGAAAGCAUGGGUAGCGAACAGGACUAGAUACCCUGGUAGUCCAUGCCGUAAACGAUGAAUGCUAGGUGUUGGAGGGUUUCCGCCCUUCAGUGCCGCAGCUAACGCAUUAAGCAUUCCGCCUGGGGAGUACGACCGCAAGGUUGAAACUCAAAGGAAUUG